UACGUAGGGGGCAAGCGUUGUCCGGAAUCAUUGGGCGUAAAGAGCGUGUAGGCGGUCCGGUAAGUCGGUUGUGAAAGUCCAGGGCUCAACCCUGGGAUGCUGACCGAUACUGUCGGACUAGAGUUCGGAAGAGGCGAGUGGAAUUCCCGGUGUAGCGGUGAAAUGCGCAGAUAUCGGGAGGAACACCUAUGGCGAAGGCAGCUCGCUGGGACGUUACUGACGCUGAGACGCGAAAGCGUGGGGAGCAAACAGG
rnacentral:rRNA from 1 species